AUUUAAGGUGUGCCGCAGCAAUGCGGUCUCAGCAAAGAGUCCCUCCCGACUGUUUACCAAAAACACAGCACUUUGCCAACUCGUAAGAGGAAGUAUAAGGUGUGACGCCUGCCCGGUGCUCGAAGGUUAAGAGGAUGCGCAGUCGCAAGAUGAAGCGUUGAAUGAAGCCCGAGUAAACGGCGGCCGUAACUAUAACGGUCCUAAGGUAGCGAAAUUCCUUGUCGGUUAAAUACCGACCUGCAUGAAUGGCGUAACGAGAUGGGAGCUGUCUCAACCAGAGAUUCAGUGAAAUUGUAGUGGAGGUGAAAAUUCCUCCUACCCGCGGCAAGACGGAGAGACCCCGUGGACCUUUACUACAACUUAGCACUGCUAAUGGGAAUAUCAUGCGCAGGAUAGGUGGGAGGCUUUGAAGUAAGGGCUUUGGCUCUUAUGGAGCCAUCCUUGAGAUACCACCCUUGAUGUUUCUGUUAGCUAACUGGCCUGUGUUAUCCACAGGCAGGACAAUGCUUGGUGGGUA
rnacentral:rRNA from 1 species